rnacentral:misc_RNA from 1 species
AACGGUCUAUACCUGCGGUACCUGCGGAAGGAUCAUUAAUGAGAAACUGCCCCUCGCGGGUAGAUCUCCCACCCUUUGUAAACUUACCUUUGUUGCUUUGGCAGGCCCGUCUCCGGACCGCCGGCUUCGGCUGGCCAGUGCCUGCCAGAGGAUUCUAAAACUCUGUCUGUCAGUGUUGUCUGAGUCUAUAUACAAUCGUUAAAACUUUCAGCAACGGAUCUCUAGAUCGGAAGAGCACAC